rnacentral:rRNA from 1 species
GAUGAACGCUGGCGGCGUGCUUAACACAUGCAAGUCGAACGAGAAGUGAAGACGGAAACCUUCGGGCGGAAGGCUUUAUUUCGAGUGGCGGACGGGUGAGUAACGCGUGGGUAACCUGCCUCAUACAGGGGGAUAACAGUUGGAAACGACUGUUAAUACCGCAUAAGACCACAGCACCGCAUGGUGCGGGGGUAAAAACUCCGGUGGUAUGAGAUGGACCCGCGUUCGAUUAGCCAGUUGGCGGGGUAACGGCCCACCAAAGCGACGAUCGAUAGCCGAUCUGAGAGGAUGACUGGCCACAUUGGGACUGAGACACGGCCCAAACUCCUACGGGAGGCAGCAGUGGGGAAUAUUGCACAAUGGGGGAAACCCUGAUGCAGCGACGCCGCGUGAGUGAAGAAGUAUUUCGGUAUGUAAAGCUCUAUCAGCAGGGAAGAAAAUGACGGUACCUGAGUAAGAAGCCCCGGCUAACUACGUG